rnacentral:rRNA from 1 species
UGCGCAGGCGGGCACUUAAGUCAGUGGUGAAAUACUGCCGCUUAACGGUAGAACUGCCAUUGAUACUGAAUGUCUUGAGUAUGGUUGAGGUAGGCGGAAUGUGUAGUGUAGCGGUGAAAUGCAUAGAUAUUACACAGAACUCCGAUUGCGAAGGCAGCUUACUAAGCCAUAACUGACGCUGAGGCACGAAAGCGUGGGGAGCGAACAGGAUUAGAUACCCUGGUAGUCC